CUUGAAUAAACGGCCCUCGUGUGCUUACAUCGGAAUCAGCUUCCUGGUGGUCUUUGGGACUUCCCGAUCUGGGCAUAACAGCCUGAGGCAUGGGCCUGUUCUACUUUGCCUUUUCAUCUUCUCUGCCUAAAACAUGCUGAGGUGUUUUUUCAAAGUGAGCACCAAGUGGCACAUGGCUGCAGUGGCUUGUGAAAGAUGAAUUGAGAAACAUGCUCAGUCUCCACUCUCGUAGUUCCCAAUUCACAGUGUUCUGAGAAGUUUUGCAGCAAAAAUUGUUUGACCCAAUAUUAUACUAUCAAACAUAGUUUGGAAAAAGCUGGAUUGGAAUAAUCUCUACAGGUUUAGAAGAGCUGUGAGUGAACAUAUCAUUGACAAAAGGUUCAGCAACAAAGCUCUCUCCUAAACUUCUCAUCGUGUCCAGCUGUGCUGCUGCUCAGUAAUGCCUCAAGGAGAAGAGGAAAGUCUUGGCCUCCCUGCUCUGUGUGGAGUAUAAAUUUUGCUCUCCUUCACAGAUGCAUGGAGGGACUUCUGGGAGGUUCCUCUGGCCCCAAGAGCUGGAUUUGGGCUUGGUAUGCUGUCUCAAGGUUGUCCUGGGACAGUGAGGAUCACCAAGGAAGGGCCUUAUCACUGCACCUUGCUGCAGCAGACUCAGCUGUGUGUGAAAUGCCCUGGGAAAGCUCAGUCUCCGGAGGCAAAGCCAAGGACUUGCCAUGACUCAGGACAAAAGAGGACUUGGACAUCAUGAGCCAGCAGGGGGAGACUGGUUUCCAGGGGAGCUUCAGAAGCCGAGCCAUGUGGAGAUUAAUAUCUGAGACCUUUCUGGGAGAGGGAUCAGAGUGCCAGCUGACUCUUGCUGGCCAUGUGAUCUUGGAUAUCUGACAGACUUUCCAAGCCUCAGUUGACUUAUUUGUGAAAUAAGGAUAGUGAGAGUACCUAUCAAACAGAAUGCUGUACACGAGAAUAAAUGUGUAAAUGACUUGGCAGAACACUUGGCACAUAGUUAGCA